rnacentral:lncRNA from 10 species
GUGAGGGAGUGGGCAGGGAGAGGCUGAUGGGGCUUCUACACGUUCCCUCCCGUAGCUGGGCUGCUGCAGCUCGUUCGCCCCAGAGGCGCGCGGUGUCCUUGAGUCCAAGUAUUCAGCGCGGACGUUUGGGGGACGGAGGGAGAGGCGCUAGGGGAACUGGCACCUAAGACUGUGUAAUAGGACACAGGUCUUGCAAGUCCUCCUCCCCAGGCACCGCCCCUGUGCUCCCAGCGCCUCUUUGCAGCUUUAAUUAUCCUUUCAGCGCCGUUCCCCCGCGGCUGCGUUUCCGUGGUCAGAGGAAAAAGGCUCUUUCGCCUCCCGGUUCUCACCCUCAUACAGACCCUCCUUUCAGACCCGCCCUCCUGUUCACAGGGACCCAUUUCGGAGCCCUGGCUCACGCUGGGCGGGAACUGCCGUGACGAAUUCCCCCCAAGGUGUUGAUUAUCCAUCCCAACCCAGCCUCUGGCUUCCCUCCCACCUCCACCCCAGCUCCCACAGGCCCCUCGCCCCGUUCAUCGGCUGGGCGCUCGAGACGGCGCCCCCAGAUCUCCCACCGGGCAGUGUCCCCAGCUGCAGCUGAGGAGAGAAGCGCCGGCGUGCGCGGUGCCACGUCGGAAUUGGCUCUGGGGACGCCGCAGCUGCCGAAGCGCAGCGCGCGGUCCCCACGCACGCCCUGCCUCCGGGCGGCCGGCGGGCUGGCCCGGCGAGGAGAGGAGGGAUGCGCGCCCUCCUCCCGCUCCUAUCUGCGGGUGCCACCGCCUGCGUCAGGGACCCCUGGCCCGAUCUUUCUGCCCCCGAUAACAGAAAAUCUCUUUUUCGUCUUAAAAAAAAAAAAAAAAAAAAAAAAAGCCUGUGGAAGACUCAGCAGAACCCAGGAAGCGCAGAAUUGGGAGAAAAGUCUUUGGCUGGGGCUGUUUCAAGUCUCUGGUUCAAUGGGCUGCUCGAAGCCAGGACUGGGUAAUUCUUUCCAGACGUCUUGACUUCUCCUUCCCCGCCGUUGUUGCCCUUCUGCCUCCUCCAACUUAAGGGGGUCUUAACAAGUGAGCUGGAUCUUCUGAGGGGUGGACUUCUUUGGAACUCGACAGGACCUUGAAGACUGGGUUCUUAGUCCUUAUCACAUAUAUGGGCUAUAAUGAAUAAGUCUAAACAGAAAAGUCGAAUAAACUGGAAAUGAUGCUUUCAUCACGUCGCACAAGAAAAACACAUUUGUUGUUUCUCGCCUCUUGUAAUUCAUGACCCAUAAGACAAAAGUAAAAUGUUCUCUGACUGCAAAUGGAUGUAAAAACUGAUUAUACAGCUACACAUUUCUGUCAUCCUCCCAUCUCUACCCCAAAGAAAGAGGAGCUGUUUGGAUCAGAAGAUGACAUCCUUUCACCCAUCCCUUUCAGGUUUUGACAUCCUAAAAUGUACCUUAUGGAACCCAUACCUGUUAUGUUUUCACCUGUACAAGGCAACAGAGAAAACAUGGUAGUUUUUACUUGAGUAGAUGUGACUUAGCAAUAUGUUGUUGCUGACCUCCAUCCCACAGCACAAAACAUAUGUUUAUAUGUCUGACAGACAAAGUAUCCAGAACAAGGAUUUAGUACCUUCAUAAUCCUCUGUAUAUGUGGUUCUAGAACUUUUGGUAAAGAAACUCUUUAUACUCUUAUUAAUUAUUGAGAACCUCAAAAAAAGUUUAUAUGUUAUAUGUAUCAAUAUUUACCACAUUAGACAUUAAAGCUGACUUAAAAAGUUAAAAUACUUAAGUCAUUUGAAGUAAUAAUAAAUGCAGUUACAUACCAACUUAAUAACAUUUUGCGAAAAUAGCUAUUUUUCAAAACCUAAAGUGAGAAAAGUGGCAGUUUUCCAUUUUUGCAAAUCUCUUUGCUGUCUAGCUGAUAGAAGACAGCUGGAUUCUCCUAUUUGCUUUUGCAUUCAAUUGUUGUUUUGAUUGAAGUAUAUGAAAAAAAAUCUGGUGUCAUACACAUAUAUAAUUGGGAAAUGGAAGAGUAUUUACACAGGCUUUUUUAGAUAUUCUUCCUUUAUACUACAUCAAAACUUGAUAAGUUGCAAUGUUGUGAAUUGGCCCAGGGCUUGGCCCUCUGAAGAUUUGCUGAAAAUCACUGACAUGAAGUAGAUUAAUAGGAUAAAAGGCAUAUACAUUUAUUUAAUGUGUAUACACAGCGGCCUUUAGAAUGAAGACCCAAAGAUACAGAAGAAAUUGUCUGUUUUUAUGCUUAAGUUUAACAAAGAAUGGGCAGCCGUGUAGAGAUAGGAUAGGACAAAAAGGGCAUAAUCUAAUGCUAGCUGACUGAGUGAGGAAGCCCAGCAAGGCCUGUCAGUGUCUCCUCAGUAUGAGUGAAUUUUGUGUACUCUGAUAAUACAUUAAAAUCUGUUUAUGUACUCUGAUAACACAUUCAAAUCUGUUGUUCUGUUUUAUACUUUAAAUGCAUCUUUUAUAACCGUUUAUGAAUUUGUAAUAUUGUGUAUUGAUUAUCUAAAAAAUACAGGUCCA